rnacentral:rRNA from 1 species
GACGAACGCUGGCGGCGUGCUUAACACAUGCAAGUCGAACGGAAAGGCCCUGCUUUUGUGGGGUGCUCGAGUGGCGAACGGGUGAGUAACACGUGAGUAACCUGCCCUUGACUUUGGGAUAACUUCAGGAAACUGGGGCUAAUACCGGAUAGGAGCUCCUGCUGCAUGGUGGGGGUUGGAAAGUUUCGGCGGUUGGGGAUGGACUCGCGGCUUAUCAGCUUGUUGGUGGGGUAGUGGCUUACCAAGGCUUUGACGGGUAGCCGGCCUGAGAGGGUGACCGGCCACAUUGGGACUGAGAUACGGCCCAGACUCCUCCGGGAGGCAGCAGUGGGGAAUAUUGCACAAUGGGCGGAAGUCUGAUGCAGCAACGCCGCGUGCGGGAUGACGGCCUUCGGGUUGUAAACCGCUUUCGCCUGUGACGAAGCGUGAGUGACGGUAAUGGGUAAAGAAGCACCGGCUAACUACGU